ensembl:misc_RNA Gm22567 predicted gene, 22567
GCCUCGGGCGGUGGAGCACACCUGUAGUCCCAGCUACUUAGGAGGCUGAGACAGGAGGAUCGCUUGAGUCCAGUUCUGGUCUGUAGUGCGCUAUGCUAAUCAGGUAUCCGCACUAAGUUUGGCAUCAAUAUGGUGACCUCUCUGGAGCGGGGGACCACCAGGUUGUCUAAGGAGGGGUGAACCGGUCCAGGUAGGAAACAGAGCAGGUCAAAACUCCCGUGUUGAACAGUAGUGGGAUCUCACCUGUUAAUAGUAGUAACUGUAGUGAAUAGCCACUGCACUCCAGCCUGGGCAACAUAGCGAGACACCAUGUCU